CAAACGGCCCUUUUCAGGGCCAACAAAACCCUCACGAAAGAAUGAU
rfam:Culex pipiens quinquefasciatus supercont3.498 genomic scaffold, whole genome shotgun sequence.